rnacentral:rRNA from 1 species
UACGUAGGGGGCUAGCGUUGUCCGGAAUCAUUGGGCGUAAAGCGCGUGUAGGCGGUCCGGUAAGUCCGCUGUGAAAGUCGGGGGGCUCAACCCUCGGAUGCCGGUGGAUACUGUCGGGCUUGAGUACGGAAGAGGCGAGUGGAAUUCCUGGUGUAGCGGUGAAAUGCGCAGAUAUCAGGAGGAACACCAAUGGCGAAGGCAGUUCUCUGGGCCGUAACUGACGCUGAGGAGCGAAAGCGUGGGGAGCGAACAGG